rnacentral:tRNA from 1 species
GCGGUGGCGCAGUGGUAGAGAGCUCUCCUAGCACGUGUGAGGCCCUGGGUUCGAUCCUCAGCACCACA